rnacentral:rRNA from 1 species
UACGUAGGGACCAAGCGUUGUUCGGAUUUACUGGGCGUAAAGGGCGCGUAGGCGGCGUGACAAGUCACUUGUGAAAUCUCUGGGCUUAACCCAGAACGGCCAAGUGAAACUGUUGUGCUAGAGUGCAGAAGGGGCAAUCGGAAUUCUCGGUGUAGCGGUGAAAUGCGUAGAUAUCGAGAGGAACACCAGAGGUGAAGACGGGUUGCUGGGCUGACACUGACGCUGAGGCACGAAGGCCAGGGGAGCAAACGGG